rfam:Dipodomys ordii contig_23894, whole genome shotgun sequence.
GGGGGCUCAGUGGUAGAGCACUUGCCUUGCAUGCAUGAGGCCCUGGGUUCAAUUCCUCAGCACCA